rnacentral:misc_RNA from 1 species
GAUGAAGAACGUAGCGAAAUGCGAUAAGUAAUGCGAAUUGCAGAAUUUCCGUGAGUCAUCGAAUCUUUGAACGCACAUUGCGCCCCUUGGUAUUCCAUGGGGCAUGCCUGUUCGAGCGUCAUUUGUACCUUCAAGCUUUGCUUGGUGUUGGGUGUUUGUCCUGAGGGACUCGCCUUAAAGUAAUUGGCAGCCAGUGUUUGGUUUUGAAGCGCAGCACAAGUCGCGAUUCAAAGUCAUACGCCCGCUUCCACAAGCCUUUUUCACUUUUGACCUCGGAUCAGGUAGGGAUACCCGCUGAACUUAAGCAUAUCAAUAAGCGGAGGA